UACGUAGGUGGCAAGCGUUGUCCGGAUUUACUGGGCGUAAAGGGCGUGCAGGCGGUCUGUUAAGUUCAGGGUGAAAGCUCCCGGCUCAACUGGGAGAGGUCCUUGGAUACUGGCAGACUUGAGGGAGGUAGAGGAGAGUGGAAUUCCCGGUGUAGUGGUGAUAUGCGUAGAUAUCGGGAGGAACACCAGUGGCGAAGGCGGCUCUCUGGGCCUUUCCUGACGCUGAGACGCGAAAGCGUGGGUAGCAAACAGG
rnacentral:rRNA from 1 species